GACGAACGCUGGCGGCGUGCUUAACACAUGCAAGUCGAACGGAAAGGCCCUGCUUUUGUGGGGUGCUCGAGUGGCGAACGGGUGAGUAACACGUGAGUAACCUGCCCUUGACUUUGGGAUAACUUCAGGAAACUGAGGCUAAUACCGGAUAGGAGCUCCUGUUGCAUGGUGGGGGUUGGAAAGUUUCGGCGGUUGGGGAUGGACUCGCGGCUUAUCAGCUUGUUGGUGGGGUAGUGGCUUACCAAGGCUUUGACGGGUAGCCGGCCUGAGAGGGUGACCGGCCACAUUGGGACUGAGAUACGGCCCAGACUCCUACGGGAGGCAGCAGUGGGGAAUAUUGCACAAUGGGCGGAAGCCUGAUGCAGCAACGCCGCGUGCGGGAUGACGGCCUUCGGGUUGUAAACCGCUUUCGCCUGUGACGAAGCGUGAGUGACGGUAAUGGGUGAAGAAGCACCGGCUAACUACGUG
rnacentral:rRNA from 1 species